GUGCUCACGUCAGCAGCACAUAUACUAAAAUUGGACCAAUACAGAGAAAAUUAGCACAGUCCCUGCACAAGGAUGACACAAAUUUGUGAAGUGCUGCUUGUUUUU